UGGUAUUCCUGCAUACAGAUC
rnacentral:piRNA from 1 species